AAGGAUCAUUACCUAGAGUUGUAGG
rnacentral:rRNA from 1 species